rnacentral:lncRNA from 1 species
ACCGUACUGAAGGUGAGUGACUCAAAUCAUGCAGCUGUAUUUUCAUUCAUGAAAACACGAGACGGACAGUAAGACGUCACCGUGUGUUUUCUUUUGCAGAUUUUCGCAGUGGAUGAAUCAUUUAGAGUGGAACUUAAAUUUACUCUAUCCGAAGCCGUCGUUGAAGAAAAAAUCAACGAAAUCACCAAUGCGCUUAUAACUGCCACCAAGGCUUCUGUGCAAAUUGCUGUAAUCAGGCCUGAUUUUCCUGAAGCAUCCAGGGAUUCAGGUAACACGAUCAUAGUGGCAUAUUUUGUCUACUCCAACGGGAC